rnacentral:other from 1 species
AAUUGACUGCGUUUCUCGUCACGGAACGCAAUUACAAUUGAGCCAACAUAUGAAUGACGGGAGGCUGAUGCCGGAGGUCAGUGCAGGUCUCUAAGGAGUUUUGCCGGAGGCCAUCGGCUUGGAUGCUGCUGAAAGGCGGCAGAAAGCCACCCACCUGUUACCUACAGGUUCAAUUCAUGUCGUUCCAACGGCCACGCGGUCAUCAU